rnacentral:rRNA from 1 species
GGGGAAUUUUGCACAAUGGGGGCAACCCUGAUGCAGCGACGCCGCGUGAACGAAGACGGUCUUCGGAUUGUAAAGUUCUGUCCUGGGUGAAGAAAAAGACGGUAAUCCAGGAGGAAGCCCCGGCUAACUACGUGCCAGCAGCCGCGGUAAUACGUAGGGGGCGAGCGUUGUCCGGAAUUAUUGGGCGUAAAGGGUGCGUAGGCGGUUUUUUAAGUUUGUCGUGAAAGCCCGGGGCUUAACCCCGGUAAGCGAUGAAAACUGGAAGACUUGAGUGAUGGAGAGGAACGUGGAAUUCCUGGUGUAGCGGUGAAAUGCGUAGAGAUCAGGAGGAAUACCAGUGGCGAAGGCGACGUUCUGGACAUUAACUGACGCUGAGGCACGAAAGCGUGGGGAGCAAAC